rnacentral:rRNA from 1 species
UACGUAGGGCGCGAGCGUUGUCCGGAAUUACUGGGCGUAAAGCGCACGCAGGCGGUCUGCUAAGUUUGGAGUGACAGUUGGUGGCUUAACUGCCAAAGUGCUUCGAAAACUGACAGACUUGAGGGCUUCAGAGGGACACGGAAUUCCGGGUGGAGUGGUGAAAUGCGUAGAGAUCCGGAGGAACACCAAAGGCGAAGGCAGUGUCCUGGGGAGUACCUGACGCUCAGGUGCGAAAGCGUGGGGAGCAAACCGG